rnacentral:rRNA from 1 species
GAUGAACGCUGGCGGCGUGCCUAAUACAUGCAAGUCGAGCGAACGGACGAGAAGCUUGCUUUUCUGAUGUUAGCGGCGGACGGGUGAGUAACACGUGGAUAACCUACCUAUAAGACUGGGAUAACUUCGGGAAACCGGAGCUAAUACCGGAUAAUAUUUUGAACCGCAUGGUUCAAAAGUGAAAGACGGUCUUGCUGUCACUUAUAGAUGGAUCCGCGCUGCAUUAGCUAGUUGGUAAGGUAACGGCUUACCAAGGCAACGAUGCAUAGCCGACCUGAGAGGGUGAUCGGCCACACGGGAACUGAGACACGGUCCAGACUCCUACGGGAGGCAGCAGUAGGGAAUCUUCCGCAAUGGGCGAAAGCCUGACGGAGCAACGCCGCGUGAGUGAUGAAGGUCUUCGGAUCGUAGAACUCUGUUAUUAGGGAAGAACAUAUGUGUAAGUAACUGUGCACAUCUUGACGGUACCUAAUCAGAAAGCCACGGCUAACUACGUG